rnacentral:rRNA from 1 species
CAGUCGCCACGGUAAUACAGAGGGUGCAAGCGUUAAUCGGAAUUACUGGGCGUAAAGCGCGCGUAGGUGGUUCGCCAAGUUGGAUGUGAAAUCCCCGGGCUCAACCUGGGAACUGCAUCCAAAACUGGCGAGCUAGAGUAUGGUAGAGGGUGGUGGAAUUUCCUGUGUAGCGGUGAAAUGCGUAGAUAUAGGAAGGAACAUCAGUGGCGAGGGCGACCACCUGGACUGAUACUGACACUGAGGUGCGAAAGCGUGGGGAGCAAACAGGAUUAGAUACCCCCGUAGUCCCUGUCUCUUAUAC